rnacentral:tRNA from 1 species
UCCCUGGUGUCUCAUACGGUAAAGAACCUGCCUGUAAUGCGGGAGAUCUGGGUUCGAUCCCUGGGUUGGGAA